AAUCCGUCGACUUUAGAAAUCGUGAGGGUUCAAGUCCCUCUAUCCCCAA
rnacentral:tRNA from 91 species